GGGCCGUACGAGAUUCUAUUUGUUUGCGAUACAAUGUAAGCGACUGAGCGAAAGCGUUAAGUAAUCCACCUGGGGAGUACGUUCGCAAGAAUGAAACUCAAAGGAAUUGAUGGGGGCCCGCACAAGCGGAGGAACAUGUGGUUUAAUUCGAUGAUACGCGAGGAACCUUACCCGGGCUUGAAAUGCGGCGGACCGGCGGAGAGAUCCGCCUUCCCUUCGGGGCCGCCGUGUAGGUGCUGCAUGGUUGUCGUCAGCUCGUGCCGUGAGGUGUCGGCUUAAGUGCCAUAACGAGCGCAACCCUCAUCAUUAGUUACUAACAGGUCAUGCUGAGGACUCUAGUGAGACUGCCAUCGUAAGAUGCGAGGAAGGUGGGGAUGACGUCAAAUCAGCACGGCCCUUACGUCCGGGGCGACACACGUGUUACAAUGGGUGGUACAAAGGGCAGCUACCUGGCGACAGGAUGCCAAUCUCCAAAACCACUCUCAGUUCGGAUCGGAGUCUGCAACUCGACUCCGUGAAGCUGGAUUCGCUAGUAAUCGCGCAUCAGCCACGGCGCGGUGAAUACGUUCCCGGGCCUUGUACACACCGCCCGUCAAGCCAUGGAAGCCGGGGGUACCUGAAGUCCGUAACCGUCAAGGAGCGGCCUAGGGUAAAACUGGUAACUGGGGCUAAGUCGUA
rnacentral:rRNA from 1 species